rnacentral:lncRNA from 1 species
AAUUAUAAAAACCCUAUCACAAGUUUUCAUUUUCUACAACAAAAACAACAAAAAAUCAGCAGCCAUCGGUUUUUGAUAUCUAAAAAAAGUCCUAAAAAAUCCCGAGACACAAAGGAGACAACCUAUUUGGCGAAAAUGAAGAAUAAAUACUCAUAUGAGUGACCAACGGCGGCGAAGAGCAGUAGCUCGUUCCGUUUAUAUGAAGACUCCGUUGGGAUCUCAUCAAUUAAUCUGGUUGUCCAGUGAGGUUCAGUCCGUUAAUUCCAAUUGAGGUUCCGCUCGCAUGGUCUUCGCUCGUUUCUGAUCUGUUUAAGAAUACUCAAUGUUCAUCUUUUGGAACAGUAAUAUUGAAGAUAAUAAUUUGCUCAUUUGAGGUUCAUAUCUUGUCCUCUUUCUGAUUAAUGAGUUUUUUAUGCCUCUCUUUAUUAAGUAAAAUAAUGCUUCUCAUAUUGAUGUCUUCAAAUAUGCUUACUUCAAUGUUGUUUUAUCAUAAAUUAUUUUGACUGUAGUAUUUUUAUAAUUUGGCCAGACUUGAUUCUUUUUCUCUCUUUCAUUAGUUCUGCCUUCUUUGUUUAAAUAUCUCAUUAUGUGAUUUUGUUUGAUGGAUUCACACCAAUUCUGUCAACAACUAAAGAAGUGGAGAAUUUUUUCAUUUUAUUGUUUGUUAUGUUAAGUGACUACAAAGAACCAUUUGAACAAUAGCUAAACACUUCUUUUCGGUUCUUGACUAAUUAUUUUGUUAGGAUAAAUAUGAAUAUUGGACUUAAAGGACAUGUAACUUAUUUUAGACAUAAUAAUGAAUUAU